rfam:Oryctolagus cuniculus clone LB1-192J7, complete sequence.
GGAUACUAUCCCUAGGAGGCAGGUGGGAUUCUGCACCCCAGAAUCUCACUGUUUUAAGAGGUGCAGCUUGGCCCUUUGGGUUCAGUCAUCCCAGAGACUGACUUUUCUGAGUUUUCUUAGGGUGUUUGCUUAUCGCAGUUUUGUCUUCCUUGCUUUAGGCAAG